AGAAGAGGAAGACUGUUACAAAGGUAUAUCAAUUCUUUUCUAUUGUAUUCUUUUAUAGCUUUUUCGCAUUUUCAAUUGAUAUACUAUGCGUUCGCUGUUUAUUAUGUUAAUGUUAUUUUUUUUAUCUUUGACUGAUUAUGAAAUCAGUAAUGUGAUCUCUAAUUUGGGAUGGCAAAAUUUUUUUUAUCUUACGUUCUCAUGAAAUUUUGAUCUGUCCACGCUAUGGUAUAUUGUUGGUUAUGUUUAUGCUUUUUGUGCUUUUUUAUUAUUAAAUUGGGUUAUAUGAUCUUCUGUUCGGAAAUUAUGAAAUGUUUUGUCCGGCAUUCUCUUGGAAUUUUGUUAUGAGGUGUUGCAAUUUUUAGCAUUGGUCUACUAGUGUCUGCAUUUGCAAUUUUUACGGUUAUAUGCCUUUUGAUGACAGAGAUCAAUAAUUUGAUCAUUUGUGCGGAAAUUGUAGAUUGUUUUGUCUUACAUCAUUUGAAAUUUUGUUCUGCGCUGUUUCAGUUUUUAGGAUUGGUCUGGUGUCUGUGUUGUUGCAGUUUUUAGCGUUGGUCUUGCUUGUCUCUGUACUGUUGAAAUUUUAAAGAUUGGUUAGGUGUGGACGUGAUAUGAUGUUAAGAUUAUGUUUCCAUGAUGAUGCUAUUUGAUUUGGGGGUUUUGCUAUUUGCAUUUCCAAAAUUUGUGUUGUGUUUCUUGAUGUGUUUGGUUUAAUUUCAUUUCUAUUUAUCUUGUAUUUGUGUUGAAUAUUUUUCAGUAUUUAUGUCCUAAUACUAGGUAUUAUAGUGGUUUGAUUAGUAAUUAAUUGUCUUCAUUUCCCCUAUGACUCUACCAGGAGGAGGCUGCUGCAAUCAAGU
rnacentral:misc_RNA from 1 species